AGAUAACGGUAUAGCUGGCAGGCAUGUGUGCAUUCCUGUGUUGGUGCCAGGAAACAGAUUGAUUCAGCAGCUGAGAAAUCAGACUCCAGCUGAUGUGGUCGAGCCAAGUUCAUGUUCCAGAUGGGUCCCUUUCCACUGCACAGCUCUGAAGGUUGAGUCCAGGAGCUAAGCUGGCAUCCAGUGGGUGAGGAGGCAGGGCUACAUCAAGUGGCAGACUGAAGUUACGUCAAUUUUGACAGGAAACGAGAAUGGGAGGCAGCUUCAGAGAGAAACCCACACAUCUGCAGACUCUUUCU
rnacentral:lncRNA from 1 species